UUGGUCUUUGUAGGUGGCGGUGCAAGUGGAGGGCGGUGCUGACAGAGGUGGCAGAGGCGGUGGCAGACCUAAGGGAGUUAGGGGCGGCACGGACUAGGGUUUCUUUUUGUUUUUCUAUUUUUUGGGUAUUGAACUAAUUGGGCUUGAAUUGGGAAAUUUUAGUUUUGGGCAUGUCUGGUUUUUGUUGGGUCUGUAAUUAGUUUAGUUUGGGUUGUAAUGGGGUUUAUUGGGUUUAAUUCUUUAUGGGCCCCGAGCAGAAUUGGCCCACAACAAGGGCAUAUGACUUGAAUUUUGCAAAUUUAAAUUUUAAAAUUACUAUUUGCUGCGGAUUUAGA
rnacentral:lncRNA from 1 species